rnacentral:tRNA from 1 species
UGUUCAUAUAGUUUAUUAAAACACUAGACUGUGAAACUAGAGAUAGAGCCAUCUUAUGAACC